AUGAACGCUAGCUACAGGCUUAACACAUGCAAGUCGAGGGGCAGCAUGAAAGGAACUUUGGUUCUUUUUGAUGGCGACCGGCGCACGGGUGCGUAACGCGUAUCGAACCUGCCUCAUACUCGGGGAUAGCCUUGCGAAAGUAAGAUUAAUACCCGGCGGUCUCGGACGGCCGCAUGACAGUCCGAGUGAAGAUUUAUCGGUAUGAGAUGGCGAUGCGUCCCAUUAGCUAGUUGGUGAGGUAACGGCUCACCAAGGCAUCGAUGGGUAGGGGUUCUGAGAGGAAGGUCCCCCACAUUGGAACUGAGACACGGUCCAAACUCCUACGGGAGGCAGCAGUGAGGAAUAUUGGUCAAUGGACGAAAGUCUGAACCAGCCAAGUAGCGUGCAGGAUGACGGCCCUCUGGGUUGUAAACUGCUUUUAGUUGGGAAUAAAAAGAGGGACGUGUCCCUUAUUGUAUGUACCAUCAGAAAAAGGACCGGCUAAUUCCGUGCCAGCAGCCGCGGUAAUACGGAAGGUCCAGGCGUUAUCCGGAUUUAUUGGGUUUAAAGGGAGCGUAGGCGGCGGCGUAAGUCAGUUGUGAAAUCGUGCGGCUUAACCGUGCAAUUGCAGUUGAUACUGCGUCGCUUGAGUGCACACAGGGAUGUUGGAAUUCAUGGUGUAGCGGUGAAAUGCUUAGAUAUCAUGAAGAACUCCGAUCGCGAAGGCAUAUGUCCGGAGUGCAACUGACGCUGAGGCUCGAAGGUGUGGGUAUCAAACAGGAUUAGAUACCCUGGUAGUCCACACAGUAAACGAUGAAUACUCGCGGUUGGUUCGUUAGAAUCAGCCGCCAAGCGAAAGCGUUAAGUAUUCCACCUGGGGAGUACGCCGGCAACGGUGAAACUCAAAGGAAUUGACGGGGGCCCGCACAAGCGGAGGAACAUGUGGUUUAAUUCGAUGAUACGCGAGGAACCUUACCCGGGCUUGAACUGCCAGUGACUCAUGCAGAGACGCAUGUUUCUUCGGACACUGGCGGAGGUGCUGCAUGGUUGUCGUCAGCUCGUGUCGUGAGAUGUUGGGUUAAGUCCCGCAACGAGCGCAACCCUUAUUGCCAGUUACUACGCAAGAGGACUCUGGCGAGACUGCCGUUGACAAAACGGAGGAAGGUGGGGAUGACGUCAAAUCAUCAUGCCCUAUAUGUCCUGGGCUACACACGUACUACAAUGGCUAUAACAAAGGGAAGCGAAGCCGCGAGGUGAAGCAAAACCCAAAAAAGUAGUCUCAGUUCGGAUUGAAGGCUGAAAUUCGCCUUCAUGAAGCCGGAAUUGCUAGUAAUGGCAGGUCAGCAUACUGCCGUGAAUACGUUCCCGGGCCUUGUACACACCGCCCGUCAAGCCAUGAAAGCCGGGGGUACCUGAAGGCCGUGACCGCAAGGGUCGGCCUAGGGUAAGACUGGUGAUUGGGGCU
rnacentral:rRNA from 1 species